CACGUAGGGCGCGAGCGUUGUCCGGAAUUAUUGGGCGUAAAGAGCUCGUAGGCGGCCUGUUGCGUCCGCUGUGAAAGCCCGGGGCUUAACCCCGGGUCUGCAGUGGAUACGGGCAGGCUAGAGGUAGGUAGGGGAGAAUGGAAUUCCCGGUGUAGCGGUGAAAUGCGCAGAUAUCAGGAGGAACACCGGUGGCGAAGGUGGGUCUCUGGGCCGAUACUGACGCUGAGGAGCGAAAGCGUGGGGAGCGAACAGG
rnacentral:rRNA from 1 species